UGCUUUGAGGACAAACAGAAUAAGGACUUCAUGUUC
rfam:Heterocephalus glaber contig62646, whole genome shotgun sequence.